UAUCAGGCAUCAUAUCCUGAGUAGCAGCCAGUUUCAGAAUCUCAUUUAAGUGCUUAUGUGUGAGCUUUGAGCGUAGCUUUGUUUUAUUAAUGGUCAUGAGUGAGAAAACUUGCUCACAAAGGUAGGUAGUCCCAAACAUGGACAACAUUUUUGCAGCCAGUGCUGUCAAUUUAAGAUAGCGUAGUAGGAGAUACUUGUAAAAUGUGUCCAAGCACACAGAGGCAAAUUUGUCCUUCAAUUCUACAUCACACUGCAAAUCAAUGAUUUCAAGUUGCAUGUCAACAGGCACAUCAGAAGCUCUGACUGUGAAUGGUGAGCGAAAAACUGCGAAUUCUGUCUCGAGUUGCUAAAGACCUGAAAUCGUUUCUCAAAUUCCCUCAGCAACCCUGAAAUCUUGUCUUUGUACUGUUUCACGUCAGGAUUAACACUUGCUGUGCACGCAUCUCGGAGACAGGGAAAAUGAGCAGGGUCUCCGCUUGCUAUCUGCGUCUCCCAUAACAUCAAAGAAGCGCUUCAGCACAGCACCUCUGCUUAACCAUUUUACUUCAGUGUGGUAUGGCAGACCAUGGGUAAUGUUACAGUCAUUGAGAAGGCUGUCAAACUGACGAUGAUUGAGACCUCUGGCUCAGAUGAAAUUAACAGUUCGGACAACCACCUCCAUGACGUGAUCCAUUUUUAAGGACUUGCAGCAUAAUGCCUCCUGAUGCAAAAUGCAAUGAAAUGUCCAAAAAUUACCCCCUCUAUUUGCGGCUUGUACUUUCUCUCUGAACUUGGUCACAACACCUGCUUUUUUCCCGAUCAUUGACGGUGCACCAUCAGUGGCCAGGCUUACGGCGCGGGACCAGUCCACCCCAACCCUGUCCAGUGCUCCAACUAUGGAGUGGAAAAUGUCCUCAGCUGUUGUGGUGUCGGUCAUAGGCACCAACUCGAGAAAGUCAAAGUAUCAUCAACUCCACGAAUGAAUAUGGCCAGUUGAGCGACGUCUGUAAUAUCAGUACUCUCAUCACUUGCAACAGAAAAUGCCAGAAAUGACUCCACUUUGCG